rnacentral:sRNA from 1 species
CCUGUGGUUGAAACCCCAGGCUGUUAUCUAUCGUUCCUACGGGACU